AUUGAACGCUGGCGGCAUGCCUUACACAUGCAAGUCGAACGGCAGCACGGGAGCAAUCCUGGUGGCGAGUGGCGAACGGGUGAGUAAUAUAUCGGAACGUGCCCAGUCGUGGGGGAUAACGCAGCGAAAGCUGUGCUAAUACCGCAUACGAUCUCUGGAUGAAAGCGGGGGACCUGUAAGGGCCUCGCGCGAUUGGAGCGGCCGAUAUCAGAUUAGCUAGUUGGUGGGGUAAAAGCCCACCAAGGCGACGAUCUGUAGCUGGUCUGAGAGGACGACCAGCCACACUGGAACUGAGACACGGUCCAGACUCCUACGGGUGGCUG
rnacentral:rRNA from 1 species